GCCGGUUUGGCUCAGUGGAUAGAGCGUUGGCCUGCGGACUCAAAGGUCCCAGGUUCAAUUCCGGUCAAGGGCA
rnacentral:tRNA from 1 species